UACGGGGGGGGCAAGCGUUGUUCGGAAUUACUGGGGCGUAAAGGGCUCGUAGGCGGCCAACUAAGUCAGACGUGAAAUCCCCAGGCUUAACCUGGGAACUGCGUCUGAUACUGGAUGGCUUGAAUUCGGGAGAGGGAUGCAGAAUUCCAGGUGUAGCGGUGAAAUGCGUAGAUAUCUGGAGGAAUACCGGUGGCGAAGGCGGCAUCCUGGACCGAGAUUGACGCUGAUGAGCGAAAGCUAGGGGGAGCAAACGGG
rnacentral:rRNA from 1 species